CAGUCGAGAAUCAUUCACAAUGGGCGAAAGCCUGAUGGUGUGACGCCGCGUGGAGGAUGAAGGUCUUCGGAUUGUAAACUCCUGUCAUGUGAGAGUAAAGCCGGGCUUUAACUGAGUGCCGGUUUGAGAGUAUCACAAGAGGAAGAGGCGGCUAACUCUGUGCCAGCAGCCGCGGUAAUACAGAGGCCUCAAGCGUUGUUCGGAAUCACUGGGCGUAAAGGGUGCGUAGGCGGCGCGGAAAGUCAGGGGUGAAAUCCCGGAGCUCAACUCCGGAACUGCCUUUGAUACUCCCGCGCUUGAGAACUGGAGGGGACAUCGGAAUUCACGGUGGAGCAGUGAAAUGCGUGGAUAUCGUGAGGAACACUAGUGGCGAAGGCGGAUGUCUGGACAGUAUCUGACGCUGAGGCACGAAGGCCAGGGGAGCGAACGGGAUUAGA
rnacentral:rRNA from 1 species